rnacentral:rRNA from 2 species
GCGGAGGAAAAGAAACCAACAGGGAUUGCCCUAGUAACGGCGAGUGAAGCGGCAACAGCUCAAAUUUGAAAUCUGGCCUCGGCCCGAGUUGUAAUUUGUAGAGGAAGCUUUUGGCGCGGCACCUUCUGAGUCCCCUGGAACGGGGCGCCAUAGAGGGUGAGAGCCCCGUAUAGUUGGAUGCCUAGCCUCUGUAAAGCUCCUUCGACGAGUCGAGUAGUUUGGGAAUGCUGCUCAAAACGGGAGGUAAAUUUCUUCUAAAGCUAAAUACCGGCCAGAGACCGAUAGCGCACAAGUAGAGUGAUCGAAAGAUGAAAAGCACUUUGAAAAGAGGGUUAAAUAGCACGUGAAAUUGUUGAAAGGGAAGCGCUUGUGACCAGACUUGCGCCGGGCUGAUCAUCCGGUGUUCUCACCGGUGCACUCUGCCCGGCUCAGGCCAGCAUCGGUUCUCGCGGGGGGAUAAAGGCCCUGGGAACGUAGCUCCUCCGGGAGUGUUAUAGCCCAGGGCGCAAUGCCCUCGCGGGGACCGAGGUUCGCGCUCUGCAAGGAUGCUGGCGUAAUGGUCACCAGCGACCCGUCUUGA